rnacentral:rRNA from 1 species
AUUGAACGCUGGCGGCAGGCCUAACACAUGCAAGUCGAGCGAGUGGCGGACGGGUGAGUAAUGUCUGGGAAACUGCCCGAUGGAGGGGGAUAACUACUGGAAACGGUAGCUAAUACCGCAUACCAUCGGAUGUGCCCAGAUGGGAUUAGCUAGUAGGUGGGGUAACGGCUCACCUAGGAGACGAUCCCUAGCUGGUCUAAGAGGAUGAACAGCCACACUGGAACUGGGACACGGUCCAGACUCCUACGGGAGGCAGCAGUGGGGAAUAUUGCACAAGGGGCGCAAGCCGGAUGCAGCCAUGCCGCGUGUAUGAAGAAGUCCUUCGGGUUGUAAAGUACUUUCAGCGAGGAGGCGUUACUCGCAGAAGAAGCACCGGCUAACUCCGUGCCAGCAGCCGCGGUAAUUC